AAAUUCCGUACAAGAAGGUACUUCACAGCAUUUAUUUUAGCAUUUCUCUUACAACGGCUGGAAGUGUUCAUUAUUUCCUUUGUUCCCAUUUCUAGUGAUUUCAUUCUGGCACAUUUCCUAGGGCUGUGCCCCCAUUAGCAAGAGCGUUUUGUCCAGAUGUGAACUAGGAAUUUUGAAUUUCUGUGUCUAGAAAGAUUCACCUGUUGAGUUCUCAGGGCUGCAGGAACAGAAGGGGCUUCAGUAAGUCACCAUGAGCUCACCAGACCAAAGCACCCUGGCACGUGUAAAUCCCAAAUUCCCUUAUUAAACCUUUCCAUGCCAGGCUUAGUCGCGGGGGUGGGGGUGGGGGGGGAAAUAUUAAAGUUUUUAACCCUCUUACCCAUUUUUGUCUAUGACUUAUUUUUUAAAACAUCUAUUCAAUGUAAAUUUUUUAAGGAACUUGUUUUUAAGCCUGUUAAUCUUCAUUGGCAAGAUUUUCACCCUGGUCUUAUGUGUCUUCUUCACUCUACAGUGGAAAAGCGGGACGCGGUGUGAUCUACAGGAUGUCAAGUACGACUGGGAAAAUCCUGUGCUACCCCCCUCAUCCUCUGAAAAUGGCUUGUUUCCACCUGGACGUUCCCCGUUCCCUGUAGAUGUUAGUGAGGUGAGAUGUUUGGGUGGUUCUGCUUCCUGGAGGGGCAGGAGAGGGGCUUUGCUGGACUAGAGAAGGUGCAGGUACUGCGGGUCUCCUGGUCUCCCUCCCCCUGUGCCCACCCUGCGUGAUGUACACGGUCUGGAACGGGCUCUGAAGGAUUUAACUUUGCAUGUCUGCUUGUGUCAGCGGGCCUGUCUGGGUGACAAGAACCUUGACACAGGAACAGCAUAAAACAGCCUUUCACAGCAGCAAAGACAUCACCCUUUGUCUGUCCCAAAGUUAAACCCGUCACAGGAAAAUGUCCAAAUUGUCUGCAUCUGGCUUCUUUUAAUAACAAAAGCUACAUUAUAGGAGUGUCUGUCUCAUGUACAGCAGUUUAUGCAACAGUGUUUAUAAAGGAAGGGCCUGUGCACUUCAGGGAUACUAUGAAGAAAAAUACUAAUAUAUGGUCAUUGAGUAUUUUGUAUUGACUGGUGUCUUUGUAUUGUAAACAAGUGUAGUGAACCACAAGGCAUGAAGACAAAUAAAAUGACUGUAGCUGGCUUUCUGCGUUGAGCU
rnacentral:lncRNA from 1 species